AGUGAACGCUGGCGGUAGGCCUAACACAUGCAAGUCGAACGGCAGCACAGUAAGAGCUUGCUCUUACGGGUGGCGAGUGGCGGACGGGUGAGGAAUACAUCGGAAUCUACUUUUUCGUGGGGGAUAACGUAGGGAAACUUACGCUAAUACCGCAUACGACCUACGGGUGAAAGCAGGGGAUCUUCGGACCUUGCGCGAUUGAAUGAGCCGAUGUCGGAUUAGCUAGUUGGCGGGGUAAAGGCCCACCAAGGCGACGAUCCGUAGCUGGUCUGAGAGGAUGAUCAGCCACACUGGAACUGAGACACGGUCCAGACUCCUACGGGAGGCAGCAGUGGGGAAUAUUGGACAAAGGGCGCAAGCCUGAUCCAGCCAUACCGCGUGGGUGAAGAAGGCCUUCGGGUUGUAAAGCCCUUUUGUUGGGAAAGAAAAGCAUCAGGUUAAUACCCCGCUGUUCUGACGGUACCCAAAGAAUAAGCACCGGCUAACUUCGUG
rnacentral:rRNA from 1 species